rnacentral:rRNA from 1 species
CGUAGGUGACCUGCGGAGGAUCAUUACCGAGUGAGGGCCCUCUGGGUCCAACCUCCCACCCGUGUUUAUUUUACCUUGUUGCUUCGGCGAGCCUGCCUUUUGGCUGCCGGGGGACAUCUGUCCCCGGGUCCGCGCUCGCCGAAGACACCUUAGAACUCUGUCUGAAGAUUGUAGUCUGAGAUUAAAUAUAAAUUAUUUAAAACUUUCAACAACGGAUCUCUUGGUUCCGGCAUCGAUGAAGAACGCAGCGAAAUGCGAUACGUAAUGUGAAUUGCAGAAUUCAGUGAAUCAUCGAGUCUUUGAACGCACAUUGCGCCCUCUGGUAUUCCGGAGGGCAUGCCUGUCCGAGCGUCAUUGCUGCCCUCAAGCACGGCUUGUGUGUUGGGCUCCGUCCUCCUUCCGGGGGACGGGCCCGAAAGGCAGCGGCGGCACCGCGUCCGGUCCUCAAGCGUAUGGGGCUUUGUCACCCGCUUUGUAGGACUGGCCGGCGCCUGCCGAUCAACCAAACUUUUUUCCAGGUUGACCUCGGAUCAGGUAGGGAUACCCGCUGAACUUAAGCAUAUCAAUAAGCGGAGGAAAAGAAACCAACAGGGAUUGCCCCAGUAACGGCGAGUGAAGCGGCAAGAGCUCAAAUUUGAAAGCUGGCUCCUUCGGGGUCCGCAUUGUAAUUUGCAGAGGAUGCUUCGGGAGCGGUCCCCAUCUAAGUGCCCUGGAACGGGACGUCAUAGAGGGUGAGAAUCCCGUAUGGGAUGGGGUGUCCGCGCCCGUGUGAAGCUCCUUCGACGAGUCGAGUUGUUUGGGAAUGCAGCUCUAAAUGGGUGGUAAAUUUCAUCUAAAGCUAAAUAUUGGCCGGAGACCGAUAGCGCACAAGUAGAGUGAUCGAAAGAUGAAAAGCACUUUGAAAAGAGAGUUAAAAAGCACGUGAAAUUGUUGAAAGGGAAGCGCUUGCGACCAGACUCGCUCGCGGGGUUCAGCCGGCAUUCGUGCCGGUGUACUUCCCCGCGAGCGGGCCAGCGUCGGUUUGGGCGGUCGGUCAAAGGCCUCUGGAAGGUAACGCCCCCUCGGGGGCGUCUUAUAGCCAGGGGUGCAAUGCGGCCUGCCCGGACCGAGGAACGCGCUCGGCU